UGGCGAACGGGUGAGUAACACGUGGGUGAUCUGCCCUGCACUCUGGGAUAAGCCUGGGAAACUGGGUCUAGUACCGGAUAGGACCAUGCUUUAGUGUGUGUGGUGGAAAGUUUUUUCGGUGUAGGAUGAGCCCGCGGCCUAUCAGCUUGUUGGUGGGGUAAUGGCCUACCAAGGCGGCGACGGGUAGCCGGACUGAGAGGUUGGUCGGCCACAUUGGGACUGAGAUACGGCCCAG
rnacentral:rRNA from 1 species